AGUGAACGCUGGCGGUAGGCCUAACACAUGCAAGUCGAACGGCAGCACAGUAAGAGCUUGCUCUUACGGGUGGCGAGUGGCGGACGGGUGAGGAAUACAUCGGAAUCUACUUUUUCGUGGGGGAUAACGUAGGGAAACUUACGCUAAUACCGCAUACGACCUACGGGUGAAAGCAGGGGAUCUUCGGACCUUUCGCGAUUGAAUGAGCCGAUGUCGGAUUAGCUAGUUGGCGGGGUAAAGGCCCACCAAGGCGACGAUCCGUAGCUGGUCUGAGAGGAUGAUCAGCCACACUGGAACUGAGACACGGUCCAGACUCCUACGUGAGGCAGCAGUGGGGAAUAUUGGACAAUGGGCGCAAGCCUGAUCCAGCCAUACCGCGUGGGUGAAGAAGGCCUUCGGGUUGUAAAGCCCUUUUGUUGGGAAAGAAAAGCAGCAGGUUAAUACCCCGCUGUUCUGACGGUACCCAAAGAAUAAGCACCGGCUAACUUCGUG
rnacentral:rRNA from 1 species